GACGAACGCUGGCGGCGUGCCUAAUACAUGCAAGUCGAACGCUUUUUCUUUCACCGGAGCUUGCUCCACCGAAAGAAAAAGAGUGGCGAACGGGUGAGUAACACGUGGGUAACCUGCCCAUCAGAAGGGGAUAACACUUGGAAACAGGUGCUAAUACCGUAUAACACUAUUUUCCGCAUGGAAGAAAGUUGAAAGGCGCUUUUGCGUCACUGAUGGAUGGACCCGCGGUGCAUUAGCUAGUUGGUGAGGUAACGGCUCACCAAGGCAACGAUGCAUAGCCGACCUGAGAGGGUGAUCGGCCACACUGGGACUGAGACACGGCCCAGACUCCUACGGGAGGCAGCAGUAGGGAAUCUUCGGCAAUGGACGAAAGUCUGACCGAGCAACGCCGCGUGAGUGAAGAAGGUUUUCGGAUCGUAAAACUCUGUUGUUAGAGAAGAACAAGGAUGAGAGUAGAACG
rnacentral:rRNA from 1 species